UUCACUCUUGAAGCCAGCGAGACCAUGAACUCACCGGGAGGGACGAACAACUCCAGACGCGCUGCCUUAAGAGCGGUAACACUUACCGCGAAGGUUCACGGGUUCACUUCUGAGCCAGUGAGACCACGAACCCACCAGAAGAAAGAAACUCCGAAGACAUCCGAACAUCAGAAGGAACAAACUCUAGACGCGUCACCUUAAGAGCUGUAACACUGACCGCAAGGCUCCGCGGCUUCAUUCUAGAACUGCUGCAAAAAGUCAAUCCUGGAGCUCAUUUGCUCUUCACUUGACAUAAGUGCUUCCUUUGGUAUUAAUUUUUUUUUUUUUUGCACCAGUGAAGGUUCUUACUUGAAACUGAUUUAACAUAUUAAGGAAAGGGAUCAAUUGAAAGAAUGUUGGGUAGCUCACAGAUGACUGGGAAGUCUGCUUUGGAUGCCUGCUGGAACAAUGGAGGUUGAGAAACAGCUAGGACCCCAGCUGAAAUCAUGCCUGUCUGGUGGAGCAUUAACAUGCUUCCAGAAGUCAAAACUAUAUAAAGGAUAUACUCCGAGAAGUAUUCCUCCCUUCUGUACCCACUCCAUCUUGUUCCUCCUAGCCAGCUCUUGAAGAGUCGGAAAUUCACUCUAAACAGGAGAAGCAGCAAUGAGAACUUCAAGAAGAGAUAUAAGCUCAUCCAAGAUCAACUGCAGAGGAGGACGAGGGAAAUUUUAUAUGGGAACAAUUAUCUGAAAAAUAGUCAUUCAUCGAUUCAAGCUCUGACAUCUUUCGGUUCUGCCAUUCCCCCAGAGAAUGUCCUCAUUUGUAUGGUCAAGGCUGGGUUGCAGAGAAGUCCAUGUUGCAGCUCAUGGAAAAAAAGAACCAAAGGGACUCAAGAACACUGGCUUAUGUCUUAGAUUGGAGAUGACCUGGAAAGUCAA